CCCUGACCAGGGUCUGGGAUGGGGAGGAGCCUGUAACCAAGAUGUGUAAUUGCUCUGAUAGACUGCAGUGUACUGAGUUUGGAGAAGAUCAUUAUUGAAGACCUAGACCUUCUGGACAAGAUGCACACAGAUCACAAGUUCCUAUUCCACACAGUAGGUGGGUGAGAGCAGGGACCAUCUCCUGGUCGUUUUCAGCAGGUAAUCAAUCUGGC